ACGCACGCUGGCGGCGUGCUUAACACCUGCAAGUCGAACGGAAAGGCCCCUUUGGGGGUACUCGAGUGGCGAACGGGUGAGUAACACGUGAGUAACCUGCCCUUGACUUCGGGAUAACUUCAGGAAACUGGGGCUAAUACCGGAUAGGAAUCCUUGCUGCAUGGUGGGGGUUGGAAAGCUUCGGCGGUUUUGGAUGGACUCGCGGCUUAUCAGCUUGUUGGUGGGGUAGUGGCUUACCAAGGCUUUGACGGGUAGCCGGCCUGAGAGGGCGACCGGCCACAUUGGGACUGAGAUACGGCCCAGACUCCUACGGGAGGCAGCAGUGGGGAAUAUUGCACAAUGGGCGGAAGCCUGAUGCAGCAACGCCGCGUGCGGGAUGACGGCCUUCGGGUUGUAAACCGCUUUCAGCAGGGGCGAAGCUUGUGGUGACGGUACCUGCAGAAGAAGCACCGGCUAACUACGUG
rnacentral:rRNA from 1 species